UACGUAGGGUGCAAGCGUUUGUCCGGAAUUAUUGGGCGUAAAGAGCUCGUAGGCGGUUUGUCGCGUCGAAUGUGAAACCCGGGGCGUCAACCCCCGGGCCUGCAUUCGAUACGGGCAGACUAGAGUUCGGUAGGGGAGUCUGGAAUUCCUGGUGUAGCGGUGAAAUGCGCAGAUAUCAGGAGGAACACCGGUGGCGAAGGCGGGACUCUGGGCCGAUACUGACGCUGAGGAGCGAAAGCGUGGGGAGCAAACAGG
rnacentral:rRNA from 1 species